AACGAACGCUGGCGGCAUGCCUAACACAUGCAAGUCGAACGAGACCUUCGGGUCUAGUGGCGCACGGGUGCGUAACGCGUGGGAACCUGCCCUUAGGUUCGGAAUAACUCCCCGAAAGGGGUGCUAAUACCGGAUAAUGUCUUCGGACCAAAGAUUUAUCGCCUUUGGAUGGGCCCGCGUUGGAUUAGCUAGUUGGUAGGGUAAAAGCCUACCAAGGCGACGAUCCAUAGCUGGUCUGAGAGGAUGAUCAGCCACACUGGGACUGAGACACGGCCCAGACUCCUACGGGAGGCAGCAGUGGGGAAUAUUGGACAAUGGGCGAAAGCCGGAUCCAGCAAUGCCGCGUGAGUGAUGAAGGCCUUAGGGUGGUAAAGCUCUUUUACCCGGGAUGAUAAUGACAGUACCGGGAGAAUAAGCUCCGGCUAACUCCGU
rnacentral:rRNA from 1 species